GGCAUGAUUUCUGUGGAUAAUCCCAACAGAACUUUGUAAAUACUCAACCAUCUUCUGACUAGCCUUUCCAAAAAACUGCCAAGGAAAAGGUAAAGUUCAAUUCGACAAACAAUCUAACCAAAUAAUCAUACAAAAAAUGGUUUCUUCCAUGCCAAUAAAAAAACACAAGUUUUUACAAUCAAUUAAAUAAAAAAUUCCGGUCCUCGCGUUUAGGGAGUCAACAACCAUUUGAACCACUUUAGAUACAGAUUGAGCUUCAUUUAGUUCUCUAUCCCUUGCUUUCCAAUACACCCAUAACUACCAUUCACAUAAGUAGAAACCACCGAUGAAUUGUGGAAGCCAUGCCUGUGUAUUAUGAUGAAAAAGGAACUGGAAAGUAAUGGAAAGGAGUUGGACUCAUGAAAAAAAAUGGGGAAAAACUCACAUCUUAAACACUAAAAACUUCAACCAAAUGGACUUUAAUGAAUCCAAAACCACUGUUUAAAUCAAUUUUCGACAUCAUCAGCAUGAAAAACUAACCAAAACAUACACAUUAAAACCACUAUAAAAUAAAAACAAAAACCCCAGCUCCAAUUAAACAGUUCGGUACCAAAUAAACUUCCCAUAGAUAAUAGCAGGAAAGAAAGAAAGAGAAAACCUUGUCCUUGUACAACUGCUUGAGCUCAGCAACACCUUGAAUCCCAUUCUCAACAAGCUUCCUCAAAUUCCUAGGUCCAACGCCCGGAAUCGUCAACAAAUCCGGACUCCCCACCAAAACUCCAGAACCCUUUUGCCUUCUAUUCAACCUUAUCGGCUUAUCUUCCUCUUCAAUUUCAUUCAAAUCCUUGGAAGCUUCAAUUGGACUCAACUGCUCCUCUAUCCCACUGGAAUGGCACCAAGCCGGCCGGAUACCAACUCUCCCAGGCCAAGCCCGUAGAGAGGUUCUUGUAUUUAAACGGGGCUGAUAGAGAUAACUAGCAGUGGUGUAGAAGCGCCGGGAAAGAGAGGAAGUUUUGUUUGUAAGAGCGGCGGCGGCGGCGAGAGAAGAGCCACAACCUGGGAGAGUGGCAGUGGGCAUUGAAAAAGAAAUAGUAGAAGAAGAAGCAGGGGUGGAGAAAGGGAGAGGAAGAGAAAGAGAGAGAGAGAGAGAAGGGAGAGAGGGUUUAAGGGAAGAAGUGGAAAGCAGGGGAGGAGCAGAAGGGGUUCUUCUUAUCAGUUUCUGCAUCCCUCAAACGCAUUUCACUAUCUUUUUGUCUGAUGUUAGGGUAUCUAGUCAAUUCAAAAAAUGUAAAACUGAAGAAGAUAAGACGAGAGAAAAUAGAAAGGAAACCCUCAAAGAGAAGAGGCGGGAAGGAGAGGGAAAGAAAAACCAAGGGUUUUGCUGUUGGUAAUGAUGGUGCCAGCCAGCUCCUUUUUCCUUUUUUGUUAAGAAUAGGGUUUUGGAUUUAUUUAUUAUUAUUUCACAACAUUUUGUCUUGAGAACCGGGAAUGGUUGUUUUAGGGUUUUCUUUCUCUUUUUGCUCUUACCUACAUACUCGUUAACCAGCUUAAUUAUUAAAUUAUAAAAUAAAAAAUUCAUUUUUUACAAAGUAAGCGAUUCAUUUAAAUUAUCCACACAUUCAUUUCAUGUGAGUAAGAUCCUUAGAAUACAAAUAUUCACAUUGGAAUCCGCAUCCAGCAAAUUAGAAAUUUAUCAUUUCAAAGACUAAAAAAAAAUUCAAAAGAAAAUAAAUAAAUCUUACAAGCACAAGGAGAAACAGCACCAUGUUGAGAGAGAAUAAGGGAUGCUCUCUACUCUGUAUAUAACAAGGUCUUGUAAAUUGGGAUGGAAUUAGUCAAACAUCUAUUGAAGAUAUGGACUGAGUACGAGAAUUCAAUUUACAUCAUCACAUCAGCUGUUAAGAACACGACGUAAAAGAAAUGCUUCACCCUGUUCCCCAUUUGCCGACCUUCUCUCCAAACAGCAAGCUGUUAGCUGCCUCAGUAAUCUCUCAAGAUACGACUGUAAGCACCCUUCCAUAUCUUGCGU
rnacentral:lncRNA from 1 species